CACUCCUACGGGAGGCAGCAGUGGGGAAUAUUGCACCAUGGGCGCAAGCCUGAUGCAGCGACGCCGCGUGGGGGAUGAAGGCCUUCGGGUUGUAAACUCCUUUCGCUAGGGACGAAGCUUUUUUGUGACGGUACCUAGAUAAGAAGCACCGGCUAACUACGUGCCAGCAGCCGCGGUAAUACGUAGGGUGCGAGCGUUGUCCGGAAUUACUGGGCGUAAAGGGCUCGUAGGUGGUUUGUCGCGUCGUCUGUGAAAUUCUGGGGCUUAACUCCGGGCGUGCAGGCGAUACGGGCAUAACUUGAGUGCUGUAGGGGUAACUGGAAUUCCUGGUGUAGCGGUGAAAUGCGCAGAUAUCAGGAGGAACACCGAUGGCGAAGGCAGGUUACUGGGCAGUUACUGACGCUGAGGAGCGAAAGCAUGGGUAGCGAACAGGAUUAGAAACCCCUGUAGUCC
rnacentral:rRNA from 1 species